AUGAAAUUUUAUAACGCACUAGGAUUUGAAGUUUAAUUGAUAUGAAGAUCAUACGUAGUUCUGUUGUCAUAUCCUCCUCCGAUUCAAUACGUCCACCUCGUACAGAAUGGUAACAUAUCUCUCCAAAUACCUGAGCUUGGGUAUAUGGGGAAACCCAACCCCUUGGGAAGAUGGGGUAUAUGUCUAAAUUGAGCGGA
rnacentral:ribozyme from 1 species